rnacentral:rRNA from 1 species
CACGCCGUAAACGAUGGGUACUAGGUGUAGGAGGUAUCGACCCCUUCUGUGCCGCAGCAAACGCAUUAAGUACCCCGCCUGGGGAGUACGUUCGCAAGAAUGAAACUCAAAGGAAUUGACGGGGGCCCGCACAAGCGGUGGAGCAUGUGGUUUAAUUCGACGCAACGCGAAGAACCUUACCGGGUCUUGACAUCCCCUGAAAAGCUAUGAAAGUAGAACUAGCCUUCGGGCACAGGGAGACAGGUGG